ensembl:snRNA U6 U6 spliceosomal RNA
GUGCUCACUUUGGCAGCACAUAUACAGAGAUUACCAUGAUACAGAGAUGAACAUGGCCCCUGUGCAAGGAAGACACGCACAUUUGUAAAGCAUUUCAUAUUUUU